rnacentral:tRNA from 1 species
AGGGAUAUAGCUCAGUGGUAGAGCAUGUGCUUAGCAUGCACAAGGUCCUGGGUUCGAUCCCCAGUAUUUCCA